UUUUAAAGUAACUCGUUACAGUUACUGUUACUUGAGAAAGUAACUUUUCGUUAUUCUUCUGUUACUUUUUUAAAAUUGACGACCACGAAUCACAGCGGACAAGUGCCUAGAGGCUUUCUAGUCUCAAGCGCUAUGAGUGGCUUGUGUUCAAUCGAACUAUGUCCAAUCAUGUGCAAAGCAACAAUAAAAGUAACUGCAAAAUUCGUUAUCGUUACCAAAAAAUGUAACUAUGUUACCGUUACAGUUAUAAAAAAGAGUAACGUAGUUACUAGUAAAGUUACCAAAAAAGUAACUUGUAACUGUAACUUCGUUACCAGCAGGAUUGGGUAACUGCAUAAAGAUUUUUUG